GCCAGCAGCCAUAUAACCCUGCAACUCACAACUGGCAACACAUUAAAGGUAAGCAGGUGUGAGCUGGGUCAAUACCUGGAUGGGAGACCUCCUGGGAAAAACUAAGGUUGCUGCUGGAA
rnacentral:rRNA from 1 species